rfam:Bombyx mori DNA, contig: Bm_scaf136_contig39413, strain: p50T/Dazao, build 2, whole genome shotgun sequence.
UUACGUCAAAUUUGUAUGGAGUUGGAACGUUUGCCUACGUUUGCCGCUAGGGGCGCUGUUCCAACUGCAUACAAAUAUGGGUUA